rnacentral:rRNA from 1 species
GAACGGUAACAGGCUGACGUGAUCCCUUCGGGGUGAGCUAGGCGCUGACGAGUGGCGGACGGGUGAGUAAUACAUAGGAAUCUACCCAGUAGUGGGGGAUAACUUGGAGAAAUCCAUGCUAAUACCGCAUAUGCCCUACGGGGCAAAGCAGGGGACCUUCGGGCCUUGCGCUAUUGGAUGAGCCUAUGUCGGAUUAGCUAGUUGGUAGGGUAAAGGCCUACCAAGGCGACGAUCCGUAGCUGGUCUGAGAGGAUGAUCAGCCACACUGGAACUGAGACACGGUCCAGACUCCUACGGGAGGCAGCAGUGGGGAAUAUUGCACAAUGGGCGCAAGCCUGAUGCAGCAAUGCCGCGUGUGUGAAGAAGGCCUGCGGGUUGUAAAGCACUUUUAUUGGGAAAGAAAAACCCGGAGCUAAUACCUCCGGCAUUGACGGUACCCAAAGAAUAAGCACCGGCUAACUCAGUGCCAGCAGCCGCGGUAAUACUGAGGGUGCGAGCGUUAAUCGGAAUUACUGGGCGUAAAGCGAGUGUAGGCGGUUGCCUAAGUCGGAUGUGAAAGCCCCGGGCUUAACCUGGGAAUUGCAUUCGAUACUGGGUAACUAGAGUUUGGUAGAGGUAAG